GACGAACGCUGGCGGCGUGCUUAACACAUGCAAGUCGAACGCUGAAGCUUGGUGCUUGCGCUGGGUGGAUGAGUGGCGAACGGGUGAGUAAUACGUGAGUAACCUGCCCUUGACUCUGGGAUAAGCCUGGGAAACUGGGUCUAAUACUGGAUACGACAUGUCACCGCAUGGUGGUGUGUGGAAAGGGUUUUUGUGGUUUUGGAUGGGCCCACGGCCUAUCAGCUUGUUGGUGGGGUAAUGGCCCACCAAGGCGACGAAGGGUAGCCGGCCUGAGAGGGUGACCGGCCACACUGGGACUGAGACACGGCCCAGACUCCUACGGGAGGCAGCAGUGGGGAAUAUUGCACAAUGGGCGGAAGCCUGAUGCAGCGACGCCGCGUGAGGGAUGACGGCCUUCGGGUUGUAAACCUCUUUCAGCACGGAAGAAGCGAAAGUGACGGUACGUGCAGAAGAAGCGCCGGCUAACUACGUG
rnacentral:rRNA from 1 species